ensembl:lncRNA
GUUAUGAUCCAGACGGACCCGGAGAGAAGGGCCGCCCUGGCCUGGAUCACACUGUGCCGAGCCUGGCAUCCCCGGGCACCCAGAGCUCACCCCUAGACGCAGGCGGUGUGAGCGGAGGCUUCCCCGCAGGAGCCCCAGCGCCAGCCCUGCGUGGCAGGCAGGACAGCCCCCCGCUGGACGCCCACCUCCUACUCUCCCAAACCUGAGACUCGGGUCACGCUGCAACAGGAGCUACGGCGGAAGGUGGACCCAGUGGCUGAGAUGGGAAACGACCCUGGAUUAUCCCGGCGGCUCCAGUGUGAUUGGAAGGAAACCUCACGGUGGAGGGGGGACGGGAGAGCCAGUGUCUGUGACUCAGCGUGAGAGAGGCCAUCGCUGGCUGUGGACGGACGGAGGGGCCGUGAGCCAAGGAAUGCGGGUGGUCUCCAGAAGGUGGGAAAGGCAGGAAGCGGGUUCUCCCCCCCUGGAGCCUCUGGAAGGACGCAGCGCUGCUGACAUGUCAACCACAGCCUCGGGAGACCCCUGUGGACCCCUGACCCCCAGACUGUAGGGUAAUAAAUGUGUGUUGUUUUAAGCCA